UUAUUUGUGCGCUGCAGAAGAAAAGAUAAAUCCUAUGGAGAAAGGCAAUGAAAACUUCAGACAAGAUCACAGAGAUAAGGACAUUUCAAUGCCUGAAAUCCGAAAUGUUAAAAGCAAUCGUUUUUCUCUUGGUAAAAGCACAGACGUGAAAGCUGAACACUGAGAAAAAGCAAGAGAUUUGGAAGAAUAAACUGAAGCUGAACUCGGA